GUUCAUUAUGUUUUCUUAACAAGUUGGUAAAUUUUUAUGUUAUUUGAAAGAGGAAUUCAAGCCAAUACGAGGGAAAACUGUGCUUUGCAUACAAAAACAAAGAGUUUUCAGCUAUGGACAAGCAGUCAAAUAUAUAGGCUUGGAUCAGGUUAACUAGUUAAGUAAGAUUUCCAGAUUCUUAAGCUGAAAAAACUAGAUUCAAGGAAGCAAUUCAGUUGCCUCGAAAAAUGAAGGGUCAGAACGUUUGUGGUGUUUAUGAAGCUCUCCGUUUGGAUGAAAACCAAGUAAAAUACUAAAGAUGUUAGAGAUAAGAUGUUAGCUGUUAGAGAAGCUGAAGCUUUUUGAACACAAGACGACCACUUGAUAUUCCCUCGUCACUUCCUUUUAAGGUAAUUCAAUCUCUUUGU